AUGUUAAUAAUAAUGUGUCUAUUUGCAGGUUUUUUUCCCCCUGACCGUAAAGUAACUUCUGCAGUCUUUCUGCAGGGAAAAUCCCAAGCUUAUUCAUGAGAGGAAAGAUUUGAGGCAAAGUGUUCCCUCCAUGUUGAAGGAUGAAUGCCACAAGGAAUUGAGCAUUUUUGCUGAAGCACAUAAAAGUUGGAGGCAAGCACCAACCAAUAUAACCUGCAUCUUGGUAAAGAAGACAUAGGGCAUAUUUUGAGCCUUUAUUUGUCGAGAAGAUAAAAGAAAUGCACGUCACUGAGACCCUCUGAUUUGGUUGAAGUGACACCUCGAUCUGAUCCAGCAAUUGAGUCUUCACACCAUGCCCCUGGGCAUAUGAUACACGUGUAAGAAAAAAGCAGGAGGAGGAAAUGAAAAGAAUGUCCUGUAAAGUGAACAUGAAAAUACGUUGAAAAGAAACUCUGGAGAGAGCUAGUGAACAGUAUAAGGCAAGCAUAGUAACUGAAAAGUGUGUGAUUCUAUGGCUCUGCUGGUACGUAUUCUCAGCCUGUAGAACCCUCUUCCUGGGAUGGCCUGGUGCAUGCCAUCAAGCAUUCUUACAGCUAACCUUCAGCGUGAGUUUAUGUGAGGGCCAACAGAGCUGCACACAAAGGCUGGAAAAGAAUUUGAGAGAGAAGUUUCGUGGAAGUGACUGUGUUGGAGUUAUCAUUGGUUAUUUGGAAGACUGAAAAAGUUGCUGUUGGCACUGUUCAUACACAUCAAGAUUGCUUUCUUAUUCUAAGCAUUCCAUGAAGUAAGCCUGCUGCCAGAUCUCAGGAAAGUGGCAGUGCUUGAGAUCAAAGUGGAGAUUCAGUGGCACUAGAAAACAGAUUAGAUCCUAGCCUUUUAGGACUACAAUAAGGAAAAAGUGAAAUAUAGUUUAGCCUAGGAAUUUGAAAAGGAAUCUUCUGAAUUUUGGAAGUAAUUGUGUUUUUCUGUACCUAAAGACAUGGGAAGAAUACAUGACUGUAUCAGGGUGCUCCUGAUAUCUAUAUAGAAAUCAUGCAUCAAAUGUAUUCUCAGGAAUUGUCUUGAAACGUGUAAGCCCUUCACCCGGAAAGUUUAUGCAGUUGAGUAACUGUGGAACGUUAGGAGUGGUUUCCUAUUACGUUUUUCAGGUAGGGAGUCUUAACAGAAUAAAUUUGUUAUUGUCAUGUAGUUUGCCUUUCA
rnacentral:lncRNA from 1 species